rnacentral:misc_RNA from 1 species
UACUCUCACACUCUCUGAUCCUUUGGAUUUGGGGAGCGGUGGACUUGGGUGUUUGCUGCUUUCCUUGUGGCUCACCUCAAAUGCGUCAGUGCACCUCUUGGUUGGACAUAGUACGGCGUGAUAAGUGUCUUCGCCGGCGCCUCGCAAGAGGGUGGCCGAUCGGGAGCUCUGUGCUUUCAAACCGUCCUCGGACAAUCUCUGACAAC